AGUUAAUGAACUUGAAUAAGUAUAUGUUUUGAAAACAUAUCAUAGUAUUUAAAUUAUACUAUUAACUU
rnacentral:tRNA from 1 species